rnacentral:rRNA from 1 species
AGUUUGAUCCUGGCUCAGAUUGAACGCUGGCGGCAGGCCUAACACAUGCAAGUCGAGCGGCAGCGGGAAAGUAGCUUGCUACUUUUGCCGGCGAGCGGCGGACGGGUGAGUAAUGCCUGGGAAAUUGCCCAGUCGAGGGGGAUAACAGUUGGAAACGACUGCUAAUACCGCAUACGCCCUACGGGGGAAAGCAGGGGACCUUCGGGCCUUGCGCGAUUGGAUAUGCCCAGGUGGGAUUAGCUUGUUGGUGAGGUAAUGGCUCACCAAGGCGACGAUCCCUAGCUGGUCUGAGAGGAUGAUCAGCCACACUGGAACUGAGACACGGUCCAGACUCCUACGGGAGGCAGCAGUGGGGAAUAUUGCACAAUGGGGGAAACCCUGAUGCAGCCAUGCCGCGUGUGUGAAGAAGGCCUUCGGGUUGUAAAGCACUUUCAGCGAGGAGGAAAGGUUGGUAGCUAAUAACUGCCAACUGUGACGUUACUCGCAGAAGAAGCACCGGCUAACUCCGUGCCAGCAGCCGCGGUAAUACGGAGGGUGCGAGCGUUAAUCGGAAUUACUGGGCGUAAAGCGCACG